CCUCCUCUUCUUGGCGGGGUCUGGCGUGCGGUCCCAGUCCCCGUAAUGUAUGGAGGCAGAGGGUAGGGGCUCCUGCCCCCUCGGCAGCACGUCUCCGGUGCCAAUGGUUUCCAGUCCGCCGGUUCUAUCCUCAAGCGCCGGGACACCG
ensembl:snoRNA small nucleolar RNA SNORA57